CCGACGCUGUCUCUGAUCAAUACCUCUGCUGAUCAUCUGCUGUUUCCUGUGAUGUUGUUCUCUCUCUCUCUCUCUCUCUCUGUCUGCUUGACUUCCUGUUUGUUUGUUGGAUUUGCGGGUUAACGGGGGGUGUUUUGUUGUUCUCUGCACUGAUGUUUUCUCCAAUGUUCUUUGGGAUUUGAUGUAAUGACUGACCUGGUCAAAACCUUUCAGGUUUCAUCGUUUGAUUCAGAGAGUCACGAUCCUUUACGAUUUCAUGAGGCAUCUAGCAAAUCCCAUAUGACCGGGGCACGAGCAGCCACACCCCUUCGCUGAGGCUCCUCCCACUGCUACUUAACUAUUCGUAGCCCCUCCCCCAACCCGAACCAGAUGAGAGAUCCAAUCCGAGUAAAUUCGGCUAGCGAUUCGUGCCUUGGCUUUUGAUAACGAGAGCAUGGAGACCUCGCACACUUCUAUCAAGUCUCACUCAAGCGAUUCGGCUGCCAGUGCGGUCAUCGUUAGAAACCCAAGAGAGAGCUCGGCUGAUGAUAGAUACUUCUAGAUCGUCUAACCUGAAACCUCGGUUCCAAGGAGGGUCGACCUGCAAAGUUGCAAGGUCUCGCUCCCACUCUCGGUCUCGGUCUCGGUCUCGGUCCAGAGGGAGGAGAUCUGGGCGCUCUCGCAGCCGCAGCAGAGGGAGAAGGUGUGUGUGUGUCUGUGUGAGUGUGUACUUGAGUGGUGUUCUGACAUGUUUCUGAAUGUGACGACACAUUAAAUCAUGAUCUUUCUUUAAGUUUUGUCCAAUCCACAGAACACCGCUUCUGAUGAUCUUCAUGAGUGUGAUGCUCGUCGGGUGUUUGCUGCAUGCAGUUCAGAGAUGUUAUAGUUCACUAAAACCAUACAGAAGUCAUCACGUGAAAUACAAUGUUAACUAAAAAAAAAAAAACUUUAUUUCUGCUAGUUGCCAAGGCAACAUUUCUUAGUUCAGCUUGUACUAAAAAUAACAACAAAAAAACAAAACAAUAUAGACAUAUUAAAAAAAUAAUACAAUUACAAAAACUUUAACUAAAAUUAACAUGAAAACAUGAAAACUAAUUCAAGAUAUUAAUAAAAACAAUAUGAAGUAAAAUGACAGACUGCAGUUGAAGAGUGAUUGUUCCUGUGCUUGGUUCAGGUCCAGAUCCGGCUCGGCUCCCAGGAGCAGGUCUGGAUCAGUCAGGAGAUCCAAGACCGGCUCUCUGGCUAGGAGGUGAGAACACACACACACACACUCUCACACACACUCACACACAUUCAGUCACUCUCUCUCUCUCUCUCACACACACACACACACACACA